rnacentral:rRNA from 1 species
CUCAGAUUAACGUGGCGGCAGGCCUAACACAUGCAAGUCGAACGGCAGCACAGAAGAGCUUGCUCUUUGGGUGGCGAGUGGCGGACGGGUGAUAAUGUCUGGGAAACUGCCCGAUGGAGGGGGAUAACUACUGGAACGGUAGCUAAUACCGCAUAACGUCGCAAGACCAAAGUGGGGGACCUUCGGGCCUCACACCAUCGGAUGUGCCCAGAUGGGAUUAGCUAGUAGGUGGGGUAAUGGCUCACUAGGCGACGAUCCCUAGCUGGUCUGAGAGAUGACCAGCCCACUGGAACUGAGAACGGUCCAGACUCCUACGGGAGGCAGCAGUGGGGAAUAUUGCACAUGGGCGCAAGCCUGAUGCGCCAUGCCGCGUGUAUGAAGAAGGCCUUCGGGUUGUAAAGUACUUUCAGCGGGGAGGAAGGCGGUGAGGUUAAUAACCUUGCCGAUUGACGUUACCCGCAGAAGAAGCACCGGCUAACCCGUGCCAGCAGCCGCGGUAAUACGGAGGGUGCAAGCGUUAAUCGGAAUUACUGGGCGUAAAGCGCACGAGGCGGUCUGUUAAGUCAGGAAAUCCCCGGGCUUAACCUGGGAACUGCAUUUGAAACUGGCAGGCUUGAGUCUCGUAGAGGGGGGUAGAAUUCCAGGUGUAGCGGUGAAAUGCGUAGAGAUCUGGAGGAAUACCGUGGCGAAGGCGGCCCCCUGGACGAAGACUGACGCUCAGGUGCGAAAGCGUGGGGAGCAAACAGGAUUAGAUACCCUGGUAUCCACGCCGUAAACGAUGUCGACUUGGAGGUUGUGCCCUUGAGGCGUGGCUUCCGGAGCUAACGGUUAAGUCGACCGCCUGGGGAGUACGGCCGCAAGGUUAAAACUCAAAUGAAUGACGGGGGCCCGCACAAGCGGUGGAGCAUGUGGUUUAAUUCGAUGCAACGCGAAGAACCUUACCUGGCCUUGACAUCCAGGAACUUAGCAGAGAUGCUUUGGUGCCUUCGGGAACUCUGAGACAGGUGCUGCAUGGCUGUCGUCAGCUCGUGUUGUGAAAUGUUGGGUUAAGUCCCGCAACGAGCGCAACCCUUAUCCUUUGUUGCCAGCGGCUCGGCCGGGAACUCAAAGGAGACUGCCGGUGAUAAACCGGAGGAAGGUGGGGAUGACGUCAAGUCAUCAUGGCCCUUACGGCCAGGGCUACACACGUGCUACAAUGGCAUACAAAGAGGACCUCGCGAGAGCAAGCGGACCUCAUAAAGUGCGUCGUAGUCCGGAUUGGAGUCUGCAACUCGACCCAUGAAGUCGGAAUCGCUAGUUCUCGUAGAUCAGAAUGCUACGGUGAAUACGUUCCCGGGCCUUGUACACACCGCCCGUCACACCAUGGGAGUGGGUUGCAAAAGAAGUAGGUAGCUUAACCUUCGGGAGGCGCUUACCACUUUGUGAUUCAUGACUGGGGUGA